AGGACUGAUUUGGAAAGUGAUCUGCUGGACUUGUUUAAACACUAGUGCUGGAUUGUUUUUGUGCACCGCGUCUGUUUUCUUCUGCAACGAGAGGCUACUACUGCUAUUAUAUAUGUUGAUGCUGCUGCUGCUUGUAUGAAGAACUACAAGAGGAGGUUGGUGCUAUGUCUUGACACGAAGAGAGAAGUCUACUACUUCUGCUUCUAUCAAGUCUAGUUCUGUCAAAGACGUUGCUACUACGUGUGCAUCUUUAUGCAAUGAUUCAUUUUUUUCUCCUUUUCAACCUAAGAUUUGAUAUCAAUUAUUAUUGAAAACAAUGCACGCAAAUAAAGAAUUUAUUGAUU
rnacentral:lncRNA from 1 species